GCACCAUGGCGACCAGGCUCCUGGCCACAUGUCUGUACACCACGGGGACCUUGUUGAUAACUGUCUCCAGUCCAGAGCAGUCAGCGUUGCUGUUUCCUGCCAUCUCGUGCCUGAUCACAUCUGGAAUGUUGUUCUACACCACCAAUGCUCAGGUGGGGAACCUGUUCGACAGCCACCGUUCCACGGUCAUAUCGGUCUACGCCGGAGCCUUCGACUCCUCCGCCGCUGUCUUCCUCAUCAUCAAGGUAACACAGCAUCUUCCUGAUGACGAUUCCUCAAUGUGGGACAUGUUUAAUGAGGGUUUAUACUGUUUGAAACCUCCUGACUUCCUGAAUAUUCCUUGAUGUGGGACAUGUUUAAUGAGGGUUUGAACUGUUUAAAACCUCCUGACUUCCUGAAUAUUCAUUGAUGUGGGACAGGGUUAAUGAGGGUUUGAACUGUUUAAAACCUUCUGACUUCCUGAAUAUUCCUCAAUUUGGAACAGAUUUCCGGUGUUUGAACUGUUUAAAGCCUUCUGACUUCCUGAAUAUUCUUCAAUUUGGGACAGAUUUCCGGUGUUUGAACUGUUGCACAGUCAGCACCUGUUGUUUUCAGAAGAGACUACAACAACUGAAAUGUAGCAUCUCUAGAUGAAACAUGAAUCCAAACGGUCAUUAAUGAUUUGCUUCUCCUUAAUCUGACCUUUGACUGACUGCUUUAUUCCAUUGUGACAGAUGCAAACUUAGCUCAGGCAAAAACAUUAAUGAUUUAAGUAAUCACUGAUAAUCAAAAACAUUAAUGAUUUAAGUAAUCACUGAUAAUCAAAAACAUUAAUGAUUUAAGUAAUCACUGAUAAUCAAAAGUGGUGAAGUAAGGAUUCAUACAUGCUGUAUAUAACCUCUCCCUCUUCCUCCCUCUUCCUCUUCCUCUCUCUCCCUCUUCCUCUCUCUCCCUCUUCCUCUCUCUCCC